AGAGUUUGCUGUUUCUUUAUCUGAAUCCUGACCUAAAUAGCUCUGCUCUCCUCCUCCAGUUUGUGUUUAUGUGUUGUGUUCCUCUCUGCAGCAGAUGCCACCACAGCGACAGUCUUAAACUAGGUCAGGGAGAGUGGGUGAGCUGGCACAGCCCCUCCGGCUAUGUUGCUCUGCGUCCUCACUCCCCUCCAGUUGUGCAGCUCACCUUCCAUGGCAUCUUGGGCUUGUCUCUGUCCCCAGAGGCACAGGGCUGGAAGUUUCUUGUCCCAGCUCCAGGACUCAUGACCUGCAGCUUCCUAGCCCUCAGAGCUGGAAGGAGACAGGAAGAGUCUGAGUCCUCUGGGAGUCCUUGGUGAAGAAUCUAGGUCCAAGAUUCUCUUUUCUUCACAUUGACCUCCAUGAGGAUGCCCUAAGCAUGCUAGGACGUGUUCCAGAGGGG
rnacentral:lncRNA from 1 species